AGUGUUACAUCACAAGAUUCUCAGACUCCUAUGGUACAAGCUAUGUCUUCAGAUUCGCCAGCGUACAAGUUACGUCAAUGCUCUGGUCGUUCUGAAUGAUGUUAUGAAGGCUAAGACCAAGAACGUUCAGUUGCUUCAGAAGAGUAACCAACAUCCCAACUUGAAGAGAUCCCGUUCAGAAAAACCAAAGACUGCAGUGAAAAAGAGAACAUUCUUAGUACAAUGAAGAGCUUGUUUAAUGCAUCAGAAGUACCGGUGACCAUUGCACACGAUGUGCGCCAGAGAAUUCAGAAUGCCAGCGAUAAGCGCAAGAGACUUCUGAAUGCCAGCGAUGUGCACAAGAGACUGAAGACUGCCAAUGCCAGUCGUUACAAGAAGAAAAAGGGGCGUAAUUGGAGGAGAAGGAUGACUCGUGCCACAUC